AGAGAGAGACAUGCGCGCAUAUCAAUAAGCGGAGGAAAAGAAACUAACUAGGAUUCCCUCAGUAACGGCGAGUGAAGCGGGAAGAGCUCAAAUUUGAAAUCUUCAAGGUUCUACCUUGACGAAUUGUAGUUUAAAGAAGUGUUUUCUGUUGGAGUUUUGGUAAAAGUUCUUUGGAAUAGGACAUCAUAGAGGGUGAGAAUCCCGUAUUUGACCAUUAUUUCCAGCUUUGUGAUACACUUUCAAAGAGUCGGAUUGUUUGGGAAUGCAGUCCAAAAUGGGUGGUAAAUUUCAUCUAAAGCUAAAUAUUGGCGAGAGACGAUAGCGAACAAGUACCGUGAGGGAAAGAUGAAAAGAACUUUGAAAAGAGAGUUAAACAGCUACGUGAAAUUGUCAAAAGGGAAGCGUUUGACACCAGUGUUGUUUUCUCGAAAAUCAAUUAAAAAAGGCAGGAUUUUGUGUUGUAUUGACUUUAUCAGCUUUCUGCACUCUUUUCUUGUCUUUUUUAAUGCACUUUUCGUUUAACAAGUCAACAUCAAUUUCUUUUGUUGUAAAAGGGUCAUUGGAAGGUGGCUUUCUUUUCGGAGAAAGUGUUUAUAGCCUUUGGCCUCUGCAAUCGGAGAGAUUGAGGUCUGCAGCGUAGAUCCUUCGGGGUUAGAUACAUUUGUGCUAAGUUAUAGCCUUUCAUAGACAACUUGUUGACUAUGAUCAGUCAUGUAGCUUACUCGCUUAUGCUAUUUUACCUACGCUUAGGAUGUUGAUGUGAUACUGCGAGCA
rnacentral:rRNA from 1 species